UACGUAGGCAGCGAGCGUUGUUCGGAGUUACUGGGCGUAAAGGGUGUGUAGGCGGUUCUUUAAGUUUGGUGUGAAAUCUCCCGGCUCAACCGGGAGGGUGCGCCGAAUACUGAGGAACUCGAGUGCGGGAGAGGAAAGUGGAAUUCCUGGUGUAGCGGUGAAAUGCGUAGAUAUCAGGAGGAACACCGGUGGUGUAGACGGCUUUCUGGACCGUAACUGACGCUGAGACACGAAAGCGUGGGUAGCAAACAGG
rnacentral:rRNA from 1 species